AUUGACCAACCAUAAAAUGUUAAAUAGCCAAGGGCAAGGUGGGCCACUAUAUUUAAACAUGUUUUCGGCUAACGAGAUUGUCGUUUCCGAUUAGAAGUCACUCACAAGUACGAAGGUUUCUUCAGCACUGAAAUAAUAGACAUGCACCUUUAGAAAAUGCCAAGCUACUUAACUGGGAAAUCAGGCUCCGACCGGACUCAUAGUUAAAGCUUUAGUAUUAUAUGAGACCCCGUGGUGUUAGAGAGGCAGAUAAGAAAAUAUCGACAAAGUAAGAGUGUCUAGAGUUUAAAAGUUCUAGAUCUAGUUCUAUGCACUGUACUGCCAAGCYACUAAACUGAGAAAUCAGGCUCCAAGGGGACUCAUAGCUAAAGCUUUAGUAUUCUACGAGACCCCGUGGUGUUAGAGAGGCAGAUAUGAAGAUAUCGACAAAGUGAGAGUGUCUAGAGUUUAGAAGUUCUAGAUCUAGUUCUACGCACUGUACUGCCAAGCUACUAAACUGGGAAAUCCUGCUCUGAGAGGACUAAUUGGAUACCCCGAAUCGUCACCUAAAAGUAUAAAGACUCAUUGACAAAAACAGGGUGUCCAUCUAAGAAGUUGGACGAAAUUUGCGUGGUCGUCCGUCGUACGUCGUAAAUAAAUCUCUAUAUUAUUUAGGGAACUUAUAAGUCAACUCUAUCGGUACGUAUUCUCGGAGAACAAGGGACUCAAGAAGAAAAUAUGGAAAAAUAAAAAUGUUGAAAAAGA